rnacentral:rRNA from 1 species
GACAGAGGGGGCAAGCGUUGCUCGGAAUCACUGGGCGUAAAGGGUGCGUAGGCGGGUCUUUAAGUCGAGGGGAUGAAAUCCGUGGAGCUCAACUCCAGAACUCGUCCUUUGAUACUGAAGAUCUUGAGUUCGGGAGAGGUGAGUGGAACUGCGAGUGUAGAGGUGAAAUUCGUAGAUAUUCGCAAGAACACCAGUGGCGAAGGCGGCUCACUGGCCCGAUACUGACGCUGAGGCACGAAAGCGUGGGGAGCAAACAGGG